UAGGGAAUCUUCCGCAAUGGACGAAAGUCUGACGGAGCGACGCCGCGUGAGUGAUGAAGGCCCUUGGGUCGUAAAGCUCUGUCAUCAGGGACGAACGGUCACGUCAGGAAAUGGGCGUGAAUUGACGGUACCUGAGAAGGAAGCCACGGCUAACUACGUGCCAGCAGCCGCGGUAAUACGUAGGUGGCGAGCGUUGUCCGGAAUUAUUGGGCGUAAAGCGCGCGCAGGUGGGAUCUUAAGUCUGUUCUGAAAGUUCGGAGCUUAACUCCGUGAUGGGAUGGAAACUGAGAUUCUUGAGUAUCGGAGAGGAAAGCGGAAUUCCCCGUGUAGCGGUGAAAUGCGUAGAUAUGGGGAGGAACACCAGUGGCGAAGGCGGCUUUCUGGACGAUGUCUGACACUGAGGCGCGAAAGCCAGGGGAGCGAACG
rnacentral:rRNA from 1 species